GAAUGAGAGUGGUCAGCCAAUUGACCCCAACAGUUCCAUGUUUGUAAGUUAUAUUGGGGCUGUUGUUCGUCAGAAUAUCCCCAUUACAAUUGACGAUUGAAGAGAUAAGGGGUUGAAGGAUGCGAAAGAUAUACUUUUGUUUGCAGAUUGCUUUUGAUGUUGACGAGUUGAGAAAGGCUUACGUGUUAAGAGUUGCCGGGAAAAUACACCGGGGUUUUAGAUCUCAUCUCUCAAAUUGCUAUCUAAAAGAUCGUGAAGGAAAUAUGAAUGCUGAAGCUCCAAAAAUAUAUAAACAUUAUAUAUCAAAUGAAGAAUGGAGCGCAUUUGUAACAAAACGUUCAGACCAUGCGUUUGUGAAUAUAAGUAAGGCAAAUCGCGAGAGGGCAAAAAAUCCGACGCACCCA